rnacentral:rRNA from 1 species
CCUACGGGAGGCAGCAGUGAGGAAUAUUGGUCAAUGGACGAGAGUCUGAACCAGCCAAGUAGCGUGAAGGAUGACUGCCCUAUGGGUUGUAAACUUCUUUUAUAUGGGAAUAAAAUGUUCCACGUGUGGGAUUUUGUAUGUACCAUAUGUAUAAGGAUCGGCUAACUCCGUGCCAGCAGCCGCGGUAAUACGGAGGAUCCGAGCGUUAUCCGGAUUUAUUGGGUUUAAAGGGAGCGUAGGUGGAUUGUUAAGUCAGUUGUGAAAGUUUGCGACUCAACCGUAAAAUUGCAGUUGAAACUGGCAGUCUUGAGUACAGUAGAGGUGAGCGGAAUUCGUGGUGUAGCGGUGAAAUGCUUAGAUAUCACGAAGAACUCCGAUUGCGAAGGCAGUUCACUGGACUGCAACUGACACUGAGGCUCGAAAGUGUGGGUAUCAAACAGGAUUAGAUACCCUAGUAGUC